ensembl:lncRNA
AUGGACUAAUUUUGAAUCACUUCUAUUUACAAAAAUUGGUCCUUCGCUGGCAGUCACAACAAACAAACUGUUCAGAGCCAUUGGAAUCAAUAUUAUGCUCCCCUGGAACUUGGAUUAAAUAAACGGGUAUUGAAGAUGAGAAGGUAGAAAGCGUGGGGGCAUGAAUUUUGGUUUCAGGAUACUAAUUAGAGCCAGAGUUUCCCGGUGAAUUAUUUAUAUUUCUGUCACCUGAGGACUUCCAGAGGGCAAUUGGGUUAAUUCACACACUGUAAUUCUCCAAUUCUAAUAAACUGUGGAGAGUUCUUAAUUGGUAAUUAGAAAAUGAUGAUACCUUGUCGGUAAAAACCACAUUCCUUUGACUACACUGAUGUGAUUAUGCAAUUACAUUUCAAAUUAGCUUGAAUAAUGUUCAACACAGGAAUUCUAAUUCUGGUCUGAUCGUCCGGCUAACUUGGGCGUGGGCAGAUUUAGGGGUUCCUUAAGUAUAGGCACACUGUUCCUGGUUUCGAAGGGAUUCCUCAGCUCACUCUAGUGUUCUCUGCAACACAUGAAGUGGCAGUGAAGGUUUAAUUUCACUGUUCAGUCUUAAUUUUGUACAUAAUUCCUUUUUAAUUAUGACUUAACUCGUCUUUAAUUUUUAUGGCAACCAAGUAGCUUUUAUAUUUCAAUAUUCUUUCCUUCUAUUUAAUAAGAACAUACUGUAGUUAAUCAGGAAAUACCUGCAAUGUACAUUUACAAUGAUCAGACCGAGAAGGAUUCCUGUCGUGGCUCAGUGGUUAACGAAGCCGACUAGGAACCAUGAGGUUGCGGGUUCGGUCCCUGCCCUUGCUCAGCGGGUUAACGAUCUGGCGUGGCCGUGAGCUGUGGUGUAGGUUGCAGACCCGGCUCGGAUCCCGUGUUGCUGUGGCUCUGGUGUAGGCCGUUGGCUAUAGCUCCGAUUCGACCCCUAGCCUGGGAACCUCCAUAUGCCGCGGGAGCGGCCCAAGAAAUAGCAACAAUAACAACAGCAACAAAGAC